rnacentral:miRNA from 1 species
ACAACCUCCUUGAGUGAGCGAC